AGAUGGAGGGCAAUCUGGCUGUGACAUCUAUCGCCCCACUGAUUGCCAGGGUUGAUCAGCUGAUCUGGCUGGCUAGGCAGGUGUCCCCUUCUUCCCUCACUCCUCCACGUGUGUCCCUCCCAAAGCUGCGUGCUCAAAGCGGACGACCUUCCCUGAUAGAGGAGGACCACUCUUCCAUCAAACAUAUAAGUGUAGCCGUGUUCCCGGCUAGAACCUCCAAACCAGCUCUUGAGAGGCACUGCAGUGAGCCCGGUGGGAGAGACAGCAUGGUGUCCAU
rnacentral:snRNA from 1 species